UAAGAAAAUCUUAUUUUUAUUAAAAGGAUCUUUAAUAUUUUCAUAAAAAAUUAAUAAGUUUUUUUUUAAAGUAUCACUGAGAAAUUGAUGUUUAAGAUUAUAGUCUAUUAGUACUGAAAAGGAAAGUGUUAUUUGCAGGAAAGCAAAGUUUUAUUUUUGUACCUUUUGUAUCAGGGUCUAACAAAAUUAGCUGUGAAAUUAUAGAAAUCUCGAAAUAAAAAGAGCUAGGGGGUUUAUUUUUUCUUCGUAGUAAAGAGGUUAGUAAGUUCUUUCUAGUAAUGAUAUGUUAGUCGCUUUUUAUAUAUCUAGUUUUUGGUUAAAAAAAAUUUAAUUUUGCUUUUUUUUAAAAUUGAAUUAAAAAUAGAGAAUAGGAGGUAAGAGCUUCUUAUUCCCGUUUUGCUAGAAUGAUUUUAUUACGUUGUUAAGUGGGCUUAAAAUCAGUCAUCUUAUUAUAACGUUCAAGUAAAUCUACUAUAGAAUUUAAUUUAUAUGUUUCUGUUGAUUUUAACUAAAAAUAUCAAUUAACAAAUCCUUGUUAGUUAAAAUGUUUAUAUAAGUAUAAUUAUAGUUUAAAAGUAAAAUGAAAUUAGAUUAAAUUUUUAAUCGAUUUUAGAUGUUUAAAAGGAACUCGGCAAAUAUAAUCUUUACCUGUUUAUCAAAAACAUGGCUGUGUGGUUUAUUAGUAUAGAGUCUAGCCUGCCCACUGAGUUUUUAAAGGGCUGCGGUAAUUUGACCGUGCAAAGGUAGCAUAAUCAAUAGUCUUUUAAUUGAAGGCUUGAAUGAACGGCUGGAUAAAAGAGAAGCUGUCUUUUUUUCAAGUUAGAAUUUGACUUUUAAGUGAAAAGGCUUAAAUUAACUAAGGGGACGAUAAGACCCUAUAAAACUUAAUAAAAGGUUAAUUUUAACUAUGAAUUGUAUUUAAAAGUUGUGAAAUUCUCUUUUUAUUUUGUUGGGGCGACAUUGAUAUAAGCUGUAACUGUCUUGAUAAUAAAAUAGUUAUCACUAUAAGCUGAUCCUUUUUUAGGGAUAAUAAGUAUAAGUUACUUUAGGGAUAACAGCGUAAUUUUUUCUGAGAGUUCUUAUCGAAGAAAGUAGUUGCGACCUCGAUGUUGAAUUAAAAUUUCAUGCAGGUGUAGCCGCUUGCCGUGUGGGUCUGUUCGACCUUUAAAAUUUUACAUGAUUUGAGUUCAAACCGGUGUGAGCCAGGUUGGUUUCUAUCUUUUAUUAAUUUAAUUUAAGUCUUAGUACGAAAGGAUUGGGCUUUUGAGAGUUUCUUUUUUCUAGAUGAAGUAUAAU
rnacentral:rRNA from 1 species